rnacentral:misc_RNA from 1 species
UCAAGAUACAGAGUGCUUUCCGUGGAUAUCUUGCAAGGAAAGCUUUGAGAGCAUUGAAAGGACUUGUGAAGCUUCAAGCCAUUGUCCGUGGACAAGUUGUGCGACGUAAAAUAGUCAUGAAAUUGAAGCGCUUGCCAUCCAAUGCAAAGACACGAUCACAGGUCCGAGCACAGAGCAUUCAUAAUAUAGAUGACAUUUGUAAAGAAGGUGGAAAUAAACAA